GGGGGGGGGGGGGGGGGGGCGGGGGGCGGGGGGGGCGGGCGGGGGGGGCCAGCGGGCUGGGUGGAUUGGUGGCGAGCGGGUGAGUAGCGCGUGAGUAACCUGCCCUUGACUCUGGGAUAAGCCUGGGAACCUGGGUCUAAUACUGGAUAUGACUUCUCAUCGCAUGGUGGGGGGUGGAAAGCUGUCUUGGUCUUGGAUGGACUCGCGGCCUAUCAGCUUGUUGGUGAGGUAAUGGCUCACCAAGGCGACGACGGGUAGCCGGCCUGAGAGGGUGACCGGCCACACUGGGACGGAGACACGGCCCAGACUCCUACGGGAGGCAGCAGUGGGGAAUAUUGCACAAUGGGCGCAAGCCUGAUGCAGCGACGCCGCGUGAGGGAUGACGGCCUUCGGGUUGUAAACCUCUUUCAGUAGGGAAGAAGCGAGAGUGACGGUACCUGCAGAAGAAGCGCCGGCUAACUACGUG
rnacentral:rRNA from 1 species